rnacentral:rRNA from 1 species
CCUACGGGCGGCUGCAGUGGGGAAUAUUGGACAAUGGGGGGAACCCUGAUCCAGCCAUGCCGCGUGUGUGAAGAAGGCCCUCGGGUUGUAAAGCACUUUCAGUGAGGAAGAACGCCUGGUGGUUAAUACCCAUCAGGAAAGACAUCACUCACAGAAGAAGCACCGGCUAACUCCGUGCCAGCAGCCGCGGUAAUACGGAGGGUGCGAGCGUUAAUCGGAAUUACUGGGCGUAAAGCGCGCGUAGGUGGCUUGAUAAGCCGGUUGUGAAAGCCCCGGGCUCAACCUGGGAACGGCAUCCGGAACUGUCAAGCUAGAGUGCAGGAGAGGAAGGUAGAAUUCCCGGUGUAGCAGUGAAAUGCGUAGAGAUCGGGAGGAAUACCAGUGGCGAAGGCGGCCUUCUGGACUGACACUGACACUGAGGUGCGAAAGCGUGGGUAGCAAACAGGAUUAGAUACCCUAGUAGUC